CCCUUAGAUGUUCUGGGCCGCACGCGCGCUACACUGACGAUGGCAACGAGUUUUUCCUUCGCCGAAAGGUGUGGGUAAUCUUUUGAAACAUCGUCGUGCUGGGGAUAGAUCAUUGCAAUUAUUAAUCUUGAACGAGGAAUUCCUAGUAAACGCAGUUCAUCAAACUGCAUUGAUUACGUCCCUGCCCUUUGUACACACCGCCCGUCGCACCUACCGAUUGGAUGGUCCGGUGAAGCCUCGGGAUUGUGGCGGUUGCCUUUAUUGGUGGCCGCCGCGAGAACUUGUCUAAACCUUAUCAUCUAGAGGAAGGUGAAGUCGUAACA
rnacentral:rRNA from 1 species